UUCUUGUUUCUUUCUACUGGAGUGUUUUUUUUCCCUAUGGCAAAAGUUGAGGCAUGAUGGAGUUUCGUCUCUCCCACAUCUUUGCUUUUCUCACACUCAUACUGGUAGAAAGGGUGAACCAUGCUGCUUUACCGCCACCUCAACUUUACUUGUUGAACUCCUUCCUGCUAGACACACCAAUCUCCAAAGCUCUCAGUGUGGGAUGCAAGCUGAAAAACUCAUGUUUGGUUACAACCAAGUGCUAAGGCCCAAAAACUCAUGUCGGUUACAUCCAAGAUGCUGUGGCUGACAAUCAGAUCGACCCAACCCGAGUAAUUUUCUUCGUAGAGAAGGACGUACAUACCGGCACAACUAUGAAAUAUCGCUUAGCCGGAAAUUCAAGUAGGGUGCCUUUAAUGUCCCGCAAAACUGCAGAAGCGAUCCCCUUCUCAUCCAGUAAACUGCCAGAAAUUCUCAACCAGUAAUCAGUGAAACCAGGGUCUGUGGAAGCCGCUAUAGUUAAGGAAACCAUUCAACAUUGUGAACGUCCAGCAGCUAGAGGAGAAGAAAACUACUGUGCCACCUCUUUGGAGUCGAUGAUUGUGUUGAAAAAGUAAUGCAUAUUUAUGUAACCACACAAUUCUAGAAAACUUACAAACUAGAUGAUGGAAUGUCGGCAACACAAAAAAAAAAAUAUGCAGAGAAUAUUUGUUAAAUUUAA